AGCCCUUUUCUUCUUCUUCUUCUUCUCUUUUCUUCCUACCAUGGAUAUUCAGAGUUAUGUGGAAAAACCAAAUUUGAUCUUCCGUUACUUCUCUUCAUGCAUCUAUCCAUUCCCAAUCUUGGCAAUGCGCGGAGCAAUUACUGAAGAUGUAUACUGGGGAACUUUCGAUGUUUUUCUUGGUUCCAAUUGCAUGGACAUCUAAUUGAAAUGUUUAUGGGAGGUGCAGGUGUUGAUCCAAAUUGAAAUGGUGGACCAGAUGGAAUAAAAGCUCUAUCACUUGCAGCCGAAAAGGAGGGUAGUAUAAAUCAUUAAGCUACUGGUUGAAGCUGGUGCAGAUCCAAAUAUAUUACAGAUGAUUUCUAAAGCAAUUGAGAAAUUUCCUAAGGCAAAAUCGGAGGAAACAAGUGCAGUCCAGAGGAAGGAGUAUUGGCUGGCAGUAUAUUGGUACUCAAAGCUGUGCUACCCCACAGGAGUUUGUGCUGUGUGUAUAAUUUAAAUAAAGGAGAUCUUGGCUUUGAAGAUGCUGCUCUAUGCGUGUUGGAAUGACCAGAUUGGCCUAAGGGUUUUUAUAGGGCAGACAUAGCACUCAAACUGCUGAAUAGACUGGAUGAUGCAACAGCUGCCUUUUCCAAUGGUUUGAAACUGGAUCCUGGCAAUAAAGAGCUUCAAGAUGCAUUUAGGUGUGUAUUACCAUGCAUUCCAUCCCCUUGCAUUAGUCGUGGGUUCACCAAGUUUGUCCAUUAGGUAGACAGAAGUAGUUGUGCCUAUGACCAAAGAAAGAAGAGCAGAGCAGCUGCAAAUUAGUGUGCUAUGUGGUGUGGCAGGGAACGGGAUUUGACAUACAAACCCAAGAUAUCUUUGAAUGUGAGUCAGUAUUCAACUCAAACCCCGUCCAAUAGCCUAUUUUUCAUAGUAAUUUACUGAUUACUGAUUAGUUAUGGUGCUAAAAAGGAGUAGCAGGAGGUGAAUAUUUUCAGAAGUCGCUGCUCAUAUGAUUACGGUGCUUGUCAAGAUGCACAGGUGUCCGGGUUCACAUUGCUGAAUGAGAUUGUAUUUUUAUUGUUUUGAUGGAUGUUAUCGUUCAUUGCACAUUUUGUGCUUGUGCCUCUUGUGUUUGGAAAUCUGAGUGUGAUUUAUAUACUUGCUGUUGCGUUUGUGCAGUUAAUGAAUUGUGGAUUUGAACAGAAAAAAAUGAUGUGAAGCUGUUGAAAGCAACUGAAACAAUUUAAGCUUUUCCUAGAA